rnacentral:sRNA from 1 species
AACAGUUGCUAAGUGGAAAAUGGAGGCUGAAUUUUACAUGGUGAUUCUUACCUGCUUGAUCUUCAGGAACUCAGAAGGGUUUCAGAUUGUCCAUGUCCAGAAACAACAGUGUCUUUUCAAAAAUGAGAAAGUGGUCGUGGGCUCAUGCAAUAGGACCAUCCAGAACCAGCAGUGGAUGUGGACUGAGGAUGAAAAGCUCCUUCAUGUUAAAUCUGCACUGUGCUUGGCCAUCUCCAACUCCUCUCGCGGCCCCUCCCGCUCAGCCAUCUUGGAUUGCUGUUCCCAGGCACCCCGAUGGACCUGCUAUGAUCAGGAAGGCUUCCUUGAGGUGGAAAAUGCCUCUCUCUUUCUCCAGAAACAAGGCUCCAGAGUAGUGGUCAAGAAGGCCAGGAAAUACUUCCAUAGCUGGAUGAAAAUAGAUGUCAACAAGGAGGGAAAACUGGUCAAUGAAAGCCUCUGUUUAAAAAAAGCUGGCCUGGGAGCAGAAGUUUCAGUGAGGAGCACUAGAAACAUGGCUCCACCCCAGAUUCCCACUACCUUUAAUGCAGUUCCAGAUAGCCUGGAACGCCUUAUUAGGAAUACCACAGAGGCCUUCAUCAGAAAUGCUGCAGAAAACUACAGCCAAAACAGCAGCGAGAGGCAGCAUCCCAAUCUGCACGUGACUGGAAUUACAGACACAUCAUGGGUUUUGUCGACUACUCAGCCCUUCUCCAGCACCACUGAAGAGACUGGACUGGCGGAGCCAGAGAGAUGUAACUUCACCCUGGCGGAGUCCAAGGCCUCCAGCCAUUCCGUGUCUAUCCAGUGGAGAAUUUUGGGCUCACCCUGUAACUUUAGCCUCAUCUAUAGCAGUGACACUCUGGGGGCCGCGUUGUGCCCUCCCUUUCGGAUAGACAACACCACAUACGGAUGUAACCUUCAAGAUUUACAAGCAGGAACCAUCUAUAACUUCAAGAUUAUUUCUCUGGAUGAAGAGAGAACUGUGGUCUUGCAAACAGAUCCUUUACCUCCUGCUAGGUUUGGAGUCAGUAAAGAGAAGACGACUUCAACCAGCUUGCAUGUUUGGUGGACUCCUUCUUCCGGAAAAGUCACCUCAUAUGAGGUGCAAUUAUUUGAUGAAAAUAACCAAAAGAUACAGAGGGUUCAAAUUCAAGAAAGUACUUCAUGGAAUGAAUACACUUUUUUCAAUCUCACUGCUGGUAGUAAAUACAAUAUUACCAUCACAGCUGUUUCUGGAGGAAAACGUUCUUCUUCAGUUUAUACCAAUGGAUCAACAGUGCCAUCUCCAGUGAAAGAUAUUGGUAUUUCCACAAAAGCCAAUUCUCUCCUGAUUUCCUGGUCCCAUGGUUCUGGGAAUGUGGAACGAUACCGGCUGAUGCUAAUGGAUAAAGGGAUCCUAGUUCAUGGUGGUGUUGUGGACAAACAUGCUACUUCCUAUGCUUUUCAUGGGCUGACCCCUGGCUACCUCUACAACCUCACUGUUGUGACUGAGGCCGCAGGGCUGCAAAACUACAGGUGGAAACUAGUCAGGACAGCCCCCAUGGAAGUCUCAAAUCUGAAGGUGACAAAUGAUGGCAGUUUGACCUCUCUAAAAGUCAAGUGGCAAAGACCUCCUGGAAAUGUGGAUUCUUACAAUAUCACCCUGUCUCACAAAGGGACCAUCAAGGAAUCCAGAGUAUUAGCACCUUGGGUUACUGAAACUCACUUUAAAGAGUUAGUCCCUGGACGACUUUAUCAAGUUACUGUCAGCUGUGUCUCUGGUGAACUGUCUGCUCAGAAGAUGGCAAUGGGCAGAACAUUUCCAGACAAAGUUGCAAACCUGGAGGCAAACAAUAAUGGCAGGAUGAGGUCUCUUGUAGUGAGCUGGUCGCCCCCUGCUGGAGACUGGGAGCAGUAUCGGAUCCUACUCUUCAAUGAUUCUGUGGUGCUGCUCAACAUCACUGUGGGAAAGGAAGAAACACAGUAUGUCAUGGAUGACAUGGGGUUCGUACCGGGAAGACAGUAUGAGGUGGAAGUCAUUGUUGAGAGUGGAAAUUUGAAGAAUUCUGAGCGUUGCCAAGGCAGGACAGUCCCCCUGGCUGUCCUCCAGCUUCGUGUCAAACAUGCCAAUGAAACCUCACUGAGCAUCAUGUGGCAGGCCCCUGUAGCAGAAUGGGAGGAAUACAUCAUUUCCCUAGCUGACAGAGACCUCUUACUGAUCCACAAGUCACUCUCCAAAGAUGCUAAAGAAUUCACUUUUACUGACCUGGUGCCUGGACGAAAAUACAUGGCUACAGUCACCAGUAUUAGUGGAGACUUAAAAAAUUCCUCUUCAGUAAAAGGAAGAACAGUGUAAUUGGAAGCAAAGUCAUCAAGAUUUCCCUUUUUAGUUGGAUGCCGUGGCUCACAUCUGUAAUCCCAGCACUUUGGGAGGCCGAGAUGGGCAGAUCUUGAGGCCAGGAAUCCAAGACCAGCCUGGCCAACAUGGCAAGAUACUCUCGCUACUAAAAAUACAAAAAUUAGCUGGGAGUGGUGGCACAUACCUGUAAUCCCAGAUACUCGGGAGGCUGAGGCAUAAGAAUCACUUAAACCCAGGAGGUGGAGGUUGCAUGAGUCGAGAUCCUGCUACUGCACACUAGCCUAGGUGAUAGAGCGAGAACCUGCCUCAAAAAAAAAAAAAAA